AUUGAACGCUGGCGGCAUGCCUUACACAUGCAAGUCGAACGGCAGCACGGGAGCAAUCCUGGUGGCGAGUGGCGAACGGGUGAGUAAUAUAUCGGAACGUGCCCAGUCGUGGGGGAUAACGCAGCGAAAGCUGUGCUAAUACCGCAUACGAUCUACGGAUGAAAGCGGGGGAUCGCAAGACCUCGCGCGAUUGGAGCGGCCGAUAUCAGAUUAGCUAGUUGGUGAGGUAAAGGCUCACCAAGGCGACGAUCUGUAGCUGGUCUGAGAGGACGACCAGCCACACUGGAACUGAGACACGGUCCAGACUCCUACGGGAGGCAGCAGUGGGGAAUUUUGGACAAUGGGCGCAAGCCUGAUCCAGCAAUGCCGCGUGCAGGAUGAAGGCCUUCGGGUUGUAAACUGCUUUUGUACGGAACGAAACGGCGAGCUUUAAUACAGUUUGCUAAUGACGGUACCGUAAGAAUAAGCACCGGCUAACUACGUGCCAGCCGCCGCCGUAACAC
rnacentral:rRNA from 1 species